rnacentral:tRNA from 1 species
GCGGGAGUAGCUAAGCCUGGACAACGGCGCAGGACUUAAGGUCCUGGCACUCCAGGAUAGGAUAUUCUGUCUCAUAGGAGUCCGGGGGUUCAAAUCCCCUCUCCCGCA